GUUAUCGUUCAUUUGAUAGUACCUACUUACAUGGAUAACCGUGGUAAUUCUAGAGCUAAUACAUGCUAAAAACCCCGACUUCGGGAGGGGUGUAUUUAUUAGAUAAAAAACCAAUGCCCUCCGGGGCUCCUUGGUGAUUCAUAAUAACUCAACGAAUCGCAUGGCCUUGCNCCGGCGAUGGUUCAUUCAAAUUUCUGCCCUAUCAACUUUCGAUGGUAGAAUAGUGGUCUACCAUGGUGGCAACGGGUAACGGGGAAUUAGGGUUCUAUUCCGGAGAGGGAGCCUGAGAAACGGCUACCACAUCCAAGGAAGGCAGCAGGCGCGCAAAUUACCCAAUCCCGACACGGGGAGGUAGUGACAAUACAUACUGAUGUGGAGCUCUUUUGGGUUUCACAAUUGGAAUGAGUACAAUUUAAAUCCCUUAACGAGGAACAAUUGGAGGGCAAGUCUGGUGCCAGCAGCCGCGGUAAUUCCAGCUCCAAUAGCGUAUAUUAAAGUUGUUGCAGUUAAAAAGCUCGUAGUUGAACCUUGGGCCUGGCCGGCCGGUCCGCCUCACCGCGUGCACUGGUUCGGCCGGGCCUUUCCUUCUGGGGAACCGCAUGCCCUUCACUGGGUGUGCCGGGNAACCAGGACUUUUACUUUGAAAAAAUUAGAGUGUUCAAAGCAGGCCUAUGCUCGAAUACAUUAGCAUGGAAUAAUAGAAUAGGACGUUGCGGNUCUAUUUUGUUGNUUUCUAGGACCGC
rnacentral:rRNA from 1 species